AGUGAACGCUGGCGGCAGGCCUAACACAUGCAAGUCGAGCGGCAGCGGGUCCUUCGGGAUGCCGGCGAGCGGCGGACGGGUGAGGAAUGCGUCGGAAUCUGCCUUUUUGUGGGGGAUAACGUAGGGAAACUUACGCUAAUACCGCAUACGACCUACGGGUGAAAGUGGGGGACCGCAAGGCCUCACGCAGAAAGAUGAGCCGACGUCGGAUUAGCUAGUUGGCGGGGUAAAGGCCCACCAAGGCGACGAUCCGUAGCUGGUCUGAGAGGAUGAUCAGCCACACUGGAACUGAGACACGGUCCAGACUCCUACGGGAGGCAGCAGUGGGGAAUAUUGGACAAUGGGCGCAAGCCUGAUCCAGCCAUGCCGCGUGUGUGAAGAAGGCCUUCGGGUUGUAAAGCCCUUUUGUCCGGAAAGAAAUCCUGUCGGCUAAUACCCGGCGGGGAUGACGGUACCGGAAGAAUAAGCACCGGCUAACUUCGUG
rnacentral:rRNA from 1 species